rnacentral:lncRNA from 1 species
AAAAACCAUAAAAAUUACAACAAACACUAAAAUUGGCCAAAAUCCAUAUAAACGACCCUAAAAUAGGCCAAAAACUAUAAAAACCAGUACGAACACUAAAAUUGGCCAUAAGCCAUAAAAACGACUACAAACACUUAAAUUGGCCAAAAACUAAAGAAUGUCCCUAAAAUAGGCCAAAAACAUUAAAAACCACUACAAACACUAAAAUUGGCCAAAAACCAUAUAAACGACCUAAAGUAGGCCAAAAACCAAAAAAAUUACAACAAACACUAAAAUUGGCAAAAAUCCAUAUAAACGACCCUAAAAUAGGCCAAAAACCAUAAAAACGACUACAAACACUAAAAUUGGCCAAAACCAUAAAAACGACUACAAACACUAAAAC